UACGUAGGUGACAAGCGUUGUUCGGAUUUACUGGGCGUAAAGGGCGCGUAGGCGGCGCGGUAAGUCACUUGUGAAAUCUCUGAGCUUAACUCAGAACGGCCAAGUGAUACUGCAGUGCUAGAGUACAGAAGGGGCAAUCGGAAUUCUUGGUGUAGCGGUGAAAUGCGUAGAUAUCAAGAGGAACACCUGAGGCGAAGGCGGGUUGCUAGGCUGAUACUGACGCUGAGGCGCGAAAGCUAGGGUAGCAAACGGG
rnacentral:rRNA from 1 species